AGAGUUUGAUCAUGGCUCAGGAUGAACGCUGGCGGCGUGCUUAAUACAUGCAAGUCGAACGAAGUUUUCUCGCCGAAGUUUACUUCAUUGAGAAAACUUAGUGGCGGACGGGUGAGUAACGCGUGGGUAACCUGCCUUACACAGGGGGAUAACAGUUAGAAAUGACUGCUAAUACCGCAUAAGCGCACAGAAUCGCAUGAUUCAGUGUGAAAAGAUUUAUCGGUGUAAGAUGGACCCGCGUCUGAUUAGCUAGUUGGUGAGGUAACGGCCCACCAAGGCGACGAUCAGUAGCCGGCCUGAGAGGGUGAACGGCCACAUUGGGACUGAGACACGGCCCAAACUCCUACGGGAGGCAGCAGUAGGGAAUAUUGGACAAUGGGGGAAACCCUGAUCCAAGCGACGCCGCGUGAGUGAAGAAGUAUUUCGGUACGUAAAGCUCUAUCAGCAGGGAAGAAAAUGACGGUACCUGACUAAGAAGCACCGGCUAAAUACGUGCCAGCAGCGGC
rnacentral:rRNA from 1 species